rnacentral:tRNA from 2 species
GUGGCUGUAGCUCAGUUGGUUAGAGCGUCGGAUUGUGAUUCCGAAGGUCGUGGGUUCGAGACCCAUCAGCCACCCC